UUUCCGUAGGGGUACCUGCGGAGGGAUCAUUACACAAAUAUGAAGGCGGGCUGGAACCUCUCGGGGUUACAGCCUUGCUGAAUUAUUCACCCUUGUCUUUUGCGUACUUCUUGUUUCCUUGGUGGGUUCGCCCACCACUAGGACAAACAUAAACCUUUUGUAAUUGCAAUCAGCGUCAGUAACAAAUUAAUAAUUACAACUUUCAACAACGGAUCUCUUGGUUCUGGCAUCGAUGAAGAACGCAGCGAAAUGCGAUAAGUAGUGUGAAUUGCAGAAUUCAGUGAAUCAUCGAAUCUUUGAACGCACAUUGCGCCCUUUGGUAUUCCAAAGGGCAUGCCUGUUCGAGCGUCAUUUGUACCCUCAAGCUUUGCUUGGUGUUGGGCGUCUUGUCUCUAGCUUUGCUGGAGACUCGCCUUAAAGUAAUUGGCAGCCGGCCUACUGGUUUCGGAGCGCAGCACAAGUCGCACUCUCUAUCAGCAAAGGUCUAGCAUCCAUUAAGCCUUUUUUUCAACUUUGACCUCGGAUCAGGUA
rnacentral:rRNA from 1 species